rnacentral:rRNA from 1 species
UACGUAGGGGGCAAGCGUUGUCCGGAUUUAUUGGGCGUAAAGAGCGUGUAGGCGGCCAGGUAGGUCUGCUGUGAAAACUCGAGGCUUAACCUCGAGAUGUCGGCGGAAACCAUCUGGCUAGAGUCCGGAAGAGGAGAAUGGAAUUCCCGGUGUAGCGGUGAAAUGCGCAGAUAUCGGGAAGAACACCCGUGGCGAAGGCGGUUCUCUGGGACGGUACUGACGCUGAGACACGAAAGCGUGGGGAGCGAACAGG